UGGAAAUUUAAGGUGUCCCGGAGCCAUGUCUGCCCGCAGCGCUCCCCGCCGCAUUCCCCGGAUCGAUGGUGGCUGCAGCGCCUCGCCUCGUGUGUCUCGGGCGGUCGGGCUGGCGGCGGGAGCGCUGGGGUUUGUUUGCGACUGAUCAGCAGAGAAACUGAUCCCGUUGCUCUGGGGUGGGAGAGGCCGGCAGUCUGUGGGAGAGAACCAUGUCUGUUCGGGAGUCCUUUAACCCAGAAAGUUACGAACUGGACAAGAGCUUCCGUCUGACCCGAUUCACUGAACUGAAGGGCACGGGCUGCAAAGUGCCGCAGGAUGUCUUACAGAAACUGCUGGAAUCUCUACAAGAAAACCAUUUUCAGGAAGAUGAACAGUUCUUGGGGGCAGUUAUGCCCAGGUUGGGAAUUGGGAUGGACACUUGUGUUAUUCCAUUAAGACACGGAGGUUUGUCAUUAGUCCAGACGACAGAUUAUAUUUAUCCUAUUGUGGAUGACCCAUAUAUGAUGGGACGAAUAGCGUGUGCCAAUGUGCUAAGUGACCUUUAUGCCAUGGGGGUCACAGAAUGCGACAACAUGUUGAUGCUCCUUGGAAUCAGCAAUAAAAUGACAGAUAGGGAAAGAGACAAAGUGAUGCCUCUAAUUAUCCAAGGUUUCAAAGAUGCAGCAGAAGAGGCAGGAACAUCUGUUACUGGUGGCCAAACAGUGUUAAAUCCCUGGAUUGUUCUAGGAGGAGUGGCCACGACAGUCUGUCAGCCUAAUGAAUUUAUAAUGCCAGACAAUGCAGUGCCAGGAGAUGUGCUUGUAUUAACUAAACCCUUGGGAACACAAGUGGCUGUAGCUGUCCACCAGUGGCUAGAUAUUCCAGAAAAGUGGAAUAAAAUCAAACUGGUGGUAACACAGGAAGAUGUAGAACUAGCAUACCAGGAGGCAAUGAUGAAUAUGGCACGGCUGAACAGGACAGCUGCUGGACUCAUGCACACUUUCAAUGCACAUGCAGCUACAGACAUCACAGGAUUUGGGAUCCUGGGGCAUGCACAAAACCUUGCCAAGCAGCAGCGGAACGAGGUGUCCUUUGUCAUUCACAACCUCCCGGUCCUGGCUAAGAUGGCUGCUGUCAGUAAGGCCUGUGGCAACAUGUUCGGCCUCAUGCAUGGGACUUGUCCAGAGACUUCAGGAGGCCUCCUCAUCUGCUUACCACGAGAGCAGGCAGCGCGUUUCUGCGCCGAGAUCAAGUCCCCAAAAUACGGCGAAGGCCACCAGGCGUGGAUUAUUGGCAUUGUAGAGAAGGGCAACCGCACGGCCAGGAUUAUAGACAAACCCCGGAUCAUUGAAGUGGCACCACAGGUGGCCACUCAGAACGUGAACCCCACGCCCGGUGCCACCUCUUAAUAGAGAUGAAAUAGCUGUUUGUUUUUGAAUAGAUCUAUUCCCUUAUCAUCCUACAAUUUAAAGAACUGUAAAAAGAAAAGAAAACUUGUUGUGUCUGCACAUCUGGUGGCCUUAGCACGAAGUCUGCAACAUUUUAAAUUGUUUCCCUUGCAAGUGCUCCUGUGCCUGCUGUCAGCAAGAGGAGGGCUGGUGGAACGGACGCUGGAGCUCCGCUUCUCCCCGGCAGCACGGGGACUGCCCCUUGCAGCAGCCUCACCGCUGACCCUGCUCUGCCCGGACACUCCCUGUCCUGAACUGCACUGAACCCACUCCUGAAGCUUCUCCCGAGUUCUGGAAUUUGCUCCUUGAUAUUCAGACCAGCAAGAAGAAAAUCUUGACUAAUUGUUACUUCAGUAAGGAUUACAAAGGCUUCCAUCUAUGAGAAAACAAGUUACUGGGUCUGAUCGAGUCUUGUGCAUCAUGCAAGGUUUAAAUUUCUGGUUUUCCUCAUAAUGACAUCUCUUGGAAAAAGUUGGCUCAUCUUCUUUUUCCACUCAAUAGUGUUUUCAACAGCCACUUUUUACAAAGCUAGAUUUAUUUUCUUUUUUUAAUUCUCCCCUUCUGAGUAGCUUAAACCACACAGUCCCUCACAGUCCUUUUCCUGGAAACCACAAAACCUCAAAGCAGUAACCAAGUUUUUGACUUUGCUUUGAGAAAAAAUAAAAAAAACACCUGUUAAGUUUUUCACGGCCGUUCUGAAAAUAAAGUAUAAAAACCAGUUGUGCAAAAAAUACUGAUUU